GGAGAGUUCGCAUAAUGGUAUUGCAGCGGUCUUGAAAACCGCCGUGAGAAAUCACAUGAGAGUUCGAGUCCCUCACUCUCCGCCA
rnacentral:tRNA from 1 species